rnacentral:rRNA from 1 species
GAUGAACGCUGGCGGCGUGCCUAAUACAUGCAAGUCGAGCGAACGGACGAGAAGCUUGCUUCUCUGAUGUUAGCGGCGGACGGGUGAGUAACACGUGGAUAACCUACCUAUAAGACUGGGAUAACUUCGGGAAACCGGAGCUAAUACCGGAUAAUAUUUUGAACCGCAUGGUUCAAAAGUGAAAGACGGUCUUGCUGUCACUUAUAGAUGGAUCCGCGCUGCAUUAGCUAGUUGGUAAGGUAACGGCUUACCAAGGCAACGAUGCAUAGCCGACCUGAGAGGGUGGCCGGCCACACUAGAACGGACACGGGGUCCCGACUCCGGCGGGGGGCAGCAGUAGGGAUUCUUCCGAAAGGGGCGAAAGCCGGACGGAGCAGCGCCGGGUGAGUGAUGAGGGUGUUGGGAGCGUAAAACUCUUUUAUGGGGGAAAAACAUAUUUGAAAGAAACUGGGCACAUCUGGACGGUCAAUAAUAAGAAAGCCAGGGCUAACUCCGUG